UAUUCGGGUAUUGCUGUUAAUCUGCGAUUUAAUAGGGAAGCGGAUGAGAUUUCCGCACGAACCUGUCACCGUGAAGACGCUUGCUUCGCAUAUGUCACUGCCGAAAGCGGGAAGGCGCGGAGCGCAUGAGUCCAAGUCGGGAGACCUGCCCGAAUU
rnacentral:ncRNA from 1 species